UCAGACGAUGCGUCAUGCAUAUCAAUAAGCGGAGGAAAAGAAACUAACAAGGAUUCCCCUAGUAACGGCGAGUGAAGCGGGAAGAGCUCAAACUUGAAAUCUUAAAGGGUUUCCCUUUACGAAUUGUAGUUUAAAGAAGUGUUUUCUGUUGAGGUUUUGGUAAAAGUUCUUUGGAAUAGGACAUCAUAGAGGGUGAGAAUCCCGUAUUUGACCUUUACUUUCAACUUUGUGAUACACUUUCAAAGAGUCGGAUUGUUUGGGAAUGCAGUCCAAAAUGGGUGGUAAAUUUCAUCUAAAGCUAAAUAUUGGCGAGAGACCGAUAGCGAACAAGUACCGUGAGGGAAAGAUGAAAAGAACUUUGAAAAGAGAGUUAAACAGUACGUGAAAUUGUCAAAAGGGAAGCGUUUGACACCAGUGUUGUUUUUCUGAAAAUCAAUUAAAGAACUGUUUAUGCUAAGUUGUUUAGACUUUAUCAGCUAACUGUUUAGUUUUGAGCUUUUCUUUAAUGCACUUUUCAGUCAACAAGUCAACAUCAAUUUCUUUUGCUGUAAAAAAGCUUGAGGAAGGUGGCUUGAGAUUCGUCUUAAGUGUUUAUAGCCUCUUGCCUAUGCAGUCGGAGAGAUUGAGGUCUGCAGCGUAGAUCCUUCGGGGCUAAAUGCAUUUGUGCUAAGUUAUAGCAUUUUAUAGACAACUUGUUGACUAUGAUUUGUCUUGUAGCUUACUCGCUUAUGUUAUUUUACCUACGCUUAGGAUGUUGAAUCUGUGCGAGACUAC
rnacentral:rRNA from 1 species